rnacentral:lncRNA from 1 species
UUUCAAAACCAAUUUUGUAUAUUCUAAUUGCAAACUCUAGUUCAAGUUCCUGAAACACUUUCUUAUAAUUAUCACCAAACAAAUGCAGUGAUUUCACAAAGCCCAAACAUGUGUCACAUUAAUUCUCACAACGAAAAUACUUUCAUUUUUCUUGGACUCCAAGCAAAAUGGACCAUAAGCAAAGUGUUUGAUAAAAUGACAGGUGGAAUUCCAUCCAAUUAAGACAUAAAUAUUUUUCCAGAGGCUAAACUCACUGCAAAAUAAUAAUCUUCACUCAGCACAUCUUUACAUGUCUUUGGCAAAACACCUGUCUAAAACUGUUAACACUAAAUAUUUUGGGAGCUCUAUACUUCAAAGACAUCCCUGAAAACGUCAAGCAUUGUUAAAAUGUUGAAGUAAUUUUGGCUAAAUGCUUCUGUGACAACUGUCGGACUUGAUUUGUUUUAGCUGAAUACAUUCUGAAUAUUGCUUGGAAU